UAGGGAAUCUUCGGCAAUGGACGAAAGUCUGACCGAGCAACGCCGCGAGAGUGAAGAAGGUUUUCGGAUCGUAAAACUCUGUUGUUAGAGAAGAACAAGGACGUUAGUAACUGAACGUCCCCUGACGGUAUCUAACCAGAAAGCCACGGCUAACUACGUGCCAGCAGCCGCGGUAAUACGUAGGUGGCAAGCGUUGUCCGGAUUUAUUGGGCGUAAAGCGAGCGCAGGCGGUUUCUUAAGUCUGAUGUGAAAGCCCCCGGCUCAACCGGCGAGGGUCAUUGGAACCUGGGAGACUUGAGUGCAGAAGAGGAGAGUGGAAUUCCAUGUGUAGCGGUGAAAUGCGUAGAUAUAUGGAGGAACACCAGUGGCGAAGUCGGCUCUCUGGUCUGUAACUGACGCUGAGGCUCGAAAGCGUGGGGAGCAAACAGG
rnacentral:rRNA from 1 species